UACGUAGGGUCCGAGCGUUGUCCGGAAUUACUGGGCGUAAAGAGCUCGUAGGUGGUUUGUCGCGUUGUUCGUGAAAACUCACAGCUCAGCUGUGGGCGUGCGGGCGAUACGGGCAGACUGGAGUACUGCAGGGGAGACUGGAAUUCCUGGUGUAGCGGUGGAAUGCGCAGAUAUCAGGAGGAACACCGGUGGCGAAGGCGGGUCUCUGGGCAGUAACUGACGCUGAGGAGCGAAAGCGUGGGGAGCGAACAGG
rnacentral:rRNA from 1 species